rnacentral:tRNA from 1 species
GCCUGGGUGGCUCAAUUGGUUAAGCACCUGACUUUGGCUCAGGUCAUGAUCUCAUGGUUUGUGGGUUUGAGCCCCGUGUUGGGCU